CGUGGAGUGACUUUUUUGCGCCUAGGAGACUCGUUCAGCAGUUUAAACCGCUAAAUUGAGACUCCAUGGCUAGAAGCCGAUCGUAAUGUCAUAGGCUCUGCUAUUGAUGCUGAUCAAGUAUGUUUAUGCGUUUUGGGGUCGAAAACGUUUCUUUCUGUGCGUUACAUGCAUCCACUUUCGUGCACAAAUACAAUACACUCUAUUUAGAGUAGAGACACAAAGUCAAAUUAUUUUAAAAAUCUUGAGUUCCGGUACUUUGGUUCUAUGGAAGAAAUGUUCCAAUUCGAU
rnacentral:lncRNA from 1 species